UACGUAGGGUGCGAGCGUUAAUCGGAAUUACUGGGCGUAAAGCGUGCGCAGGCGGUUUUGUAAGCCAGAUGUGAAAUCCCCGGGCUCAACCUGGGAACUGCAUUUGUGACUGCAUGGCUAGAGUACGGUAGAGGGGGAUGGAAUUCCGCGUGUAGCAGUGAAAUGCGUAGAUAUGCGGAGGAACACCGAUGGCGAAGGCAAUCCCCUGGACCUGUACUGACGCUCAUGCACGAAAGCGUGGGGAGCAAACAGG
rnacentral:rRNA from 1 species